CCCUCCGUAGCUCAGUGGAUAGAGCAGGCGCUUUCUAAGCGACAGGUCGCAGGUUCGAACCCUGCCGGCGGGA
rnacentral:tRNA from 1 species